rnacentral:piRNA from 1 species
UAGCAACCUAGGGCUCCACGUGACUUAGGUU